rnacentral:lncRNA from 1 species
GCUGAUUUAUUACGAUUUUACAAUUAUGAUAUAGGAAAUAUUACAUAGACGAUUCGACAACCGACAAUACUACCUGCCUUAUGAAGACCUACGCCUAACUGCAUCAUCUGAGCCGUCCUAUGAAGAUCCACACCUGGCCAAAUUUUACUUGCACCAUGUUGAAGAUCCCUUGCAAGCUUUUUUUCUGUAAUCUGCAUAAUUGUUUAAUAAACCGUUCUCUCCGGGACUUGAAACCUGGAUUUCCUGUAAUCUGCAAUAAAUUGCAUAGUCUGGGAUUCGAACCCCAGACAUCGAUGUAGAAGCCUUUAAAC